rnacentral:lncRNA from 1 species
UUUGCAGCCACAUACAUUUAUGCUUUAGCCUUUAUGAAUUCCUUGGCCUUCGGUCACUGCAUGUAAAUCUGUUUGUGUUUAUGUUUGUGAGAAAUACUGUAGAUCUAUUAUAACGGUUGGUACCAUUAAAUCUGGACCUGUAUUAAUAUUGCUGGCGUUAAUAACGAUAUGAUGACAGUGUACCACAACAAAUUCAGUUAAUUUUCCUGUAAACAUCCUCUUUCCAUGCAGAAUGAUUGUCUCAAGUUUCUUGCUCAAAAUAGGCCUGCUCAUGUACCGAUCUGAUCAAGAGAUGUGCUUACUGGUGAGUGACGGCGAAACUAGCUACAAUCACCUUUAUUUUUAUCAAUUCCUUGCUGAUAAUACUCUGGUUCUUACUUUAUCUACAGAGCUCUAAUUAUAUUCUCCUAAUAUUUUGUGUGGCCUUUAGAUCGUUCAACGUUGAGAUGAUGUACCAAACGCCGACUUCUUUAGCCUUCUUCGAGGCAUGUCAGUCCCUUUCCUUUUCUGCUAAUUGCUUCCAUGUUUUUUGGCUGUUCACUGGAGUGGGAUAACUUGGAAAGCUGUUACAACAGCCCAUUCUACAUCUUUGAUGAUAUUUAGUGUGAAACAGACUGGGCAUGGAUUAUUUAUCCUAAAUAUUUUGUAUAUAUACUUAGUCUAGAAAAAAGUGUGUGCUAGGUCUCAGGUUUGUUCAUUUCACCAUCUCCCAAUAAUUUGGCCUGGUGUACAGACCUACAGCUCUUAGUAAAUUCUACUUCUAGGUGCGUUCAUGUCAGGGAUUUUCCACUGGUUGCUAAGCAAUAGAUAACUGAGAUAGAAGGCUUUGUUUAUCUUUGUUUCCAUAUUUUAUUAGAUCAUAAAAAGCUAUUUCCUUUGUUUCGUGGUACAGUUGCACAUUUUUACUCUAGGAAUAUUAGCUUAUGAACUGUGAUGCAAAAUUAAUAGAUAACUGAGAUAGAAGGCUUUGUUUAUCUUUGUUUCCAUAUUUUAUUAGAUCAUAAAAAGCUAUUUCCUUUGUUUCGUGGUACAGUUGCACAUUUUUACUCUAGGAAUAUUAGCUUAUGAACUGUGAUGCAAAAUUAAUAGAUAACUGAGAUAGAAGGCUUUGUUUAUCUUUGUUUCCAUAUUUUAUUAGAUCAUAAAAAGCCAUUUCCUUUGUUUCGUGGUACAGUUGCACAUUUUUACUCUAGGAAUAUUAGCUUAUGAACUGUGAUGCAAAAUUAGGAUGUCGAUCCAAUUGCAGUUGCUUUUCUCUUGCAGCAGCAAAUUUCACCUUCAACCACUAUAACUAUGGUGAAAAAAUAGGAUAGACAUUUAAUCAAUACUGAAUUUUGUGAAUGUUUACCAACAAUUUCGUCUUGGUUACUCUUGGUGGCUGCAGAUUGCAGAUAGUUGGUCUGGUUUUUGUAUAUUUCAUUUCAGGUUUUGCAAACUGACAACCGAAUUUUCCUGAAAAGAAGGGACUUAAUCUGAAUAGACUAAAUUGCUCCUAAUAUCAAUCUCCGUGUGUAUCUGCCCUUUCUUAUUUCAGUACAUCGCAUUGCUAAUAAUGCUUAGUAUACAUGCUGCUAAGUUUGUAAUCUUACCUUCUCAACAGUUCUGCAGUCUGGAUGUAUUUUGGAUGGCCUAUCUGAAUUACAGGCGUCUCCUUGACCUAUUACUUGCCGACGAACUUUGGUGCGUCGCAAAGAAUCACGCAAAUUGUGGAGAAGUUUCCAGUAAGCUGUCGUAGAAUUCUGUUGCCGAGUGGUUCUCUGGAGUUGACUCUCACAUCUGGGAUCAUAUUGGCUGUUUCAAACUUGUGAGAGUAACAGUUAUUCAGAAUGGCUCUAACACGUGAACGUCACCGUGUAGAAUUGUAAAUGUCAACAUUCAGAGGCUGCUUCUACGUUGGUUUAUGAUUGUACACCCGUCCACGCAUGUCAUGCAUUAUUGAGACUGUCAAGUGUAAACCACUUCUUCCGUGGAAUCCUGGAAACUCAAACAGAGCCCUUCGAUACAAGUUGUACCAGGUUGUUGAUUGCUCUCAUUUUCCCACGUAACCCCUCGUGCUGACGAGCUAAUGCGCUACAGGCCCAAUAGAUUAGGCGCCCUGCAUUUUUAAUGGGCUGGCGGCGAAUACCCUCUUUUUUUUGCGUGGGUUUUUCCUCGGUACUUUUUCGAGGAUACUCCCGCCCUUGAAACUCCUCCCUUUGGUCAUCCCUUUGCUAGAC